GAAUCACAAGGACUCAAGAUAAUUUUACUGUAACACCUCCUAGCCUUUGAAAAUAAACGCGGUAUUUUUCCCUUACAGAUUGAUUAUUACUUAAAUCCUAAGAACUAUAACCUAUCUUAUUACCAAAUUUUUAUACUGAAUAUUAUAAUUUUUUUUGUUACUCGAAAUUUAUGAUUAUUAACUCUUUUUUUUUUUCUUUUAGUUCCAAAAAAGGAGACAGCAAAUUUUAUGGACGUCACAUAUAUAUAAAUAUAUCAAGGACAACACAACGUUUACGCUUCUUUCCGGAGGAAACAGAUUUUGAACGCCAGGCAAACCCUCAAAUGAAGCUGGACUUGUUGACUGGUCCUUUUACAAUGCCGGCGUUCUGGGCGGGAUCAAUAACCGGCACAGCAAAAAGCUCAAAGUUGCAGCUGGCCAGUUUACAAUUCAAAUCCCCACACCCUCAAUGUAACUUUUUUGGCUUUUUUUUCCUGUGGACAACUUGCCACUACCUUGCGUUACCAAAAAGAAAAGGCAAUUUCCCGCCGUUGUGCUGACCAAAACCGGACAAUUUUCGGUGCUUCCAAAAAAGGCUUGAUACACCACCGGAAUAUUCACAAUAAAAAAAAAUCGCAACACACAAAUUAAAUUUUUCCACUUCUUCACUGCUCUCUAGCUAAGUUUCACCGGUAACGUCUUAUUCUCAACUUUCUUUUCUUAUGCUCGCAGCCUUUUAUACCCCUCUUCUCAGUGAAUCCCGCCAGACGCUCAUUUUCCACGAAACACCAUUUUCCUGAGCCAUUUUCAAUUUUCAUUCCUUUUUCUUUUCAACUGUCAAUAGCCAUUUUUUUAUUCUAUUGUGAAUUCUCAUUUCAGCUCACCCCGGAGUAGUAGUAGGUUCCCACCUACUCAGCAAUCAUAGGGCUGCCUAGUCACUUCUUAGCCUGAGUCACCCUGUCAUUCACUACCUUUAUAAUACUCUUUAACUCAACCCUGUUCGAGCCUAAUUUCGUACGUAGCGAACCCUAUCAAACCAUUUCCGGCAUUUUGAUCCCAUCGCCACCCAGACUACACACCCCGCAGAAAUUACAAGCAAAUUGAAAUCUCGAAGCAUCCUCACCAUCCUCACUAAAAACCCAAGAAAACUGAGCAAAUCCAUUUGAGGACCAAUUAUGGGAUGCACUACCAACAGAAUUGGGAUAAUUUCUGCGGUGGUUGUGGACAGGUUUUGCCAAAAAACACGGCCCCAUAUAUUUGUUGCCUUUUUGCGCCGCAUGUGAACGGCCUGCAACAAAACUUCAACUUCGGCCACAAAAUCGAGGACGGAGGUGAUGUGCACGGCCGCAUUACUCAUUUACGUGGGGACAUCCCACUCCCUGAAGGUCUCAUGCCGGGCAUAAGCUCCGAACAGCAGGCUGGUCAAAGCCCUCCCCCUCAUGCUGAUCUGUGAAACAUGUCUUGCUAGUUCGCCUGAUAAUUCUCGAUCCGACACCCUGAAAAUAUCGUGUCACUACCAAACAUCGAUCGAGUUCCGAGUCCGGGAAACUCGCUGGUAAUUCCCCUAUAGCAGGUCAACAUUUGGGAAGAUCAAAAACGCUCAUAAAUUUUACAAUACGCAUUCGGUUAUUUAUAAAAUCCCGCAUUCAGUAUUUCUACUAAGACAAGUUCAGAGGAACGGAUGGGAUUUAUCGGCCCACUCCUUUGGGACCUUCACUACAAAAAGGUAAACAUCCGGAACAACCCAAUAAUUCUACCAACCCAAGACCUUGUGUGGAGUUGGAAUAUAUUUGUCCUCUCUGGCGGAUCCACACUGGUAACACCCAACAGCUCUAAAUGAAAAAUUCUCCGAUUUCAUCAAAAUUUCACACAUUCUUCUUGGUUAUGGAUAUAAUCUUCAAAGUUGGAAUCUAUACGUACUUUGAUACACAAAUAAUUUGAUCAAAUUAUUGAAAUCAUGGUACAAUAAAAAAGUAAGGUGGUGAAACAUUUUGCAUGCGGAAAUAUUUGUGCCUAUGCCUGUCUUGUCGUCGUGGUUGCCGAAGAACGGAUUUUGUAUGCGGUAUUUGCUGAUGUGAUUGAUAGUUCCAAAAAAGGAGACAGCAAAUUUUAUGGACGUCACAUAUAUAUAAAUAUAUCAAGGACAACACAACGUUUACGCUUCUUUCCGGAGGAAACAGAUUUUGAACGCCAGGCAAACCCUCAAAUGAAGCUGGACUUGUUGACUGGUCCUUUUACAAUGCCGGCGUUCUGGGCGG